AGUGAACGCUGGCGGUAGGCCUAACACAUGCAAGUCGAACGGCAGCACAGUAAGAGCUUGCUCUUACGGGUGGCGAGUGGCGGACGGGUGAGGAAUACAUCGGAAUCUACUUUUUCGUGGGGGAUAACGUAGGGAAACUUACGCUAAUACCGCAUACGACCUACGGGUGAAAGUAGGGGAUCUUCGGACCUUGCGCGAUUGAAUGAGCCGAUGUCGGAUUAGCUAGUUGGCGGGGUAAAGGCCCACCAAGGCGACGAUCCGUAGCUGGUCUGAGAGGAUGAUCAGCCACACUGGAACUGAGACACGGUCCAGACUCCGACGGGAGGCAGCAAUGGGGAAUAUUGGACAAUGGGCGCAAGCCUGAUCCAGCCACACCGCGUGGGUGAAGAAGGCCUUCGGGUGGUAAAGCCCUUUUGUUGGGAAAGAAAAGCAGCAGGUUAAUACCCCGCUGUUCUGACGGUACCCAAAGAAUAAGCACCGGCUAACUUCGU
rnacentral:rRNA from 1 species